rnacentral:rRNA from 1 species
CCCUUAGAUGUUCUGGGCUGCACGCGCGCUACAAUAAUACGCACAGCGAGUAUCACCGAGCUCGAAAGGGCAAGGUAAACAAUAGAAAAGGUACUGUAAUGGUUAUAGAUCCUUGUAAUUAUUGAUCUUCAACGAGGAAUUCCUAGUAAGUAUGUGUCAUCAUCACGCGCUGAUUACGUCCCUGCCCUUUGUACACACCGCCCGUCGCUCCUACCGAUUGGGUGAGCCGAUGAAACUCUCGGAUGUAGGCUAUUCAUAGCCCGCAGAAGAGAUUUGAAUCGUAGCGCUUAGAGGAAGGAGAAGUCGUAACA